GGAGAGGUCGCAUAGUGGUCUAGUGCGUCCGCUUGGAGAGCGGAUAUAGCCGCAAGGCUAUCGUGGGUUCAAAUCCCACCCUCUCCG
rnacentral:tRNA from 1 species